AUGUGUGCCCCCCGUGUGUGCCCCCCAUGUGUGCCCCCGUGUGUGCCCCCGUGUGUGCCCCCCGUGUGCCCCCCGUGUGUGCCCCCAUGUGUGCCCCCGUAUGUGCCCCCCAUGUGCCCCCCGUGUGCCCCCCGUGUGUGCCCCCCGUGUGUGACCCCUAUGUGCCCCCCGUGUGUGCCCCCAGUGUGUGUCCCCCAUUUGUGCCCCCCGUGUGUGCCCCCCAUGUGCCCCCAUGUGCCCCCCGUGUGUGUCCCCCGUGUGUGUCCCCCGUGUGUGCCCCCCGUGUGUGCCCCGUGUGUGCCCCGUGUGUGCCCCCCAUGUGUGCCCCCGUGUGUGCCCCCCGUGUGUGCCCCCGUGUGUGCCCCGUGUGUGCCCCCCGUCUGUGCCCCCCGUCUGUGCCCCCCAUGUGCCCCCCGUGUGUGCCCCCCAUGUGUGCCCCCGUGUGUGCCCCCCGUGUGCCCCCCGUGUGUGCCCCCGUGUGUGCCCCCCAUGUGUGCCCCCCAUGUGCCCCCGUGUGUGCCCCCCAUGUGCCCCCCAUGUGUUCCCCCCGCCCUUACUUGCUCCCAGCGCCAGGACGGCCGUGCAGGCGAGCAGGAACAGCAGCGACGCCUUCAUGGCUGGGGAGAGAGCGGAACGCGCGAUGUGGGGCACAGGGGGGCACAGGGGGGCACCGUGCCCGUCCCCUGCCCAGCGCAGCCCUCGCCAGGGAUGUCCCCACUCACCUGUCCGGGCUCUGUGAGCGAGGGCAGCCCCGGGCUCCCUCUUUAUACCCUCCGGACGGCCGCGCUGGGGGAUUCGUGCAAAGGUCAGGGCAGGGCGGGGUGGGGGGGCUGCAGGGGCGCUGUGUCCAGCCAGGAAUUGGGAAAUCUCGGGGGGACGGAGCCCGCCGGGGCCCCGCGUGUCGGUGCUGCGCGCACGGAGCUGUGCCCCGCGUGUGCGCGGCCAGCCCGGUGCCCGCCGAGGGGACAGCCCGGGCACGCACGGCACAAGGGUGACAUCCAGCGGCCCUGGCCCCGGGCACGCCGCCCUCGGGCACCGCCAGGCUCUUCGGACCUUGUCACUGCCGCUGCCUGGUCCCUGCCCCUGCCCGCCGUGCCCUUUGCCCGC
rnacentral:lncRNA from 1 species